GUCAGCCAGGGUCUAACCUGCCACGUAGGUAUCCAAACUGUUGAACAUUAACUUCUGAGAAGGGGUUCCAUGGGUGACAGAAGCCACUAGACGCCAAAAAAAAAGGAGGGGAGAGAGACAUUGAGAAACCCAGAAAUGGAGGGCAAGUGGAGGAAGCUGCCCACACUUCUGUAUUGGAAGGACUGAGGUGUGUGUGUGUUGGGAGCAGGGGGGCAGGAGGUGGGAGAUACUGGGGCUAGGGCCUGGGAAACCAGUGGCAGCCAGGCCUCAGGGAGGGAGCUCCGUGGAGGCUGAGCUGUUGCUGGGUCUGACUCUUCAAGCUGGGAGAGCUGGGACUCUUCAAGCUUCCUCCUGGCUUAGGCUGAGCCCAGCAGCACAGGUGCAUGGGCCCACACUUCACUGGCCAGCCUGGGCUACAAACGGUAAUCAGAAAACCAUGAAACAGACCCAGGGGUAGCUUCCUACUGAUCUUCAGGACUCCCGUAGUGCCUGGUAGAGCACACACCAUGGAGAAUAGGAUAAACAACAGAGGUGGGCUUUAUUUAAAACACACACGCACGCACACACACACACACACACACACACACACACACCUGAGACUAGCUUUCAAACUAAUGAGCCACUCCUCAACUUAUGCUCACACAUACGCAGCUAGACCCUACACCCACAGCAUUCAACAGCACACAAUAGCUCUUCUCUGAAACAGCUGCUCACUGGAGCCAAUGCAAACUCUGUGUUGACACCAUACAGGACCUCUUAAUGAAGAGAUUUAGGGUAUCAUGAGGUCUCCCAGCUCAGAGGAAGACUAUGGGUUCCCUUUAUCCAGCCAGCUUUACCCCUCACGCAGCCUGUGGCUGGGUUCAAGGGAGACACCGGUUGCUGGAGGUUUCCUUUGUUUCUGGCCUCAAUGGCAGGAGGCACACGGGCCCAAAGGAAAAGGCAUUCUGGGAUGGAAGUCAAGGCCCUGCCAUGGAAUCAACCAAGAGACCCUGGGGAACUCCUCGGUCUCAGGCCACCGCCGGAAAGCAGAAGGCUGUGACCUGCUCAUGGCUAUUGGGACACACAGCAGAUCCUCAGUCAAGAACACCCCAGGAUGCUGUUCUCUGAAGCUUAUCUCUGGAAAAGGGGCCUGUGGUACCUAAUCUGACAGGUGUGAGCAUCAGUGACACGGAGACCAACAGUAGCCGUCGCCCAUAGGCAGGCACCCUCCUUGGGACUUUGUUACAUUGAUCCUUGAUCUCCACAAGAGCCCUUUUAGGCAGGAAAGUUAUAUGUAAUAGUACCAUAGCUCAUCCCUAGAAGCUCACACCGUGGAGCCUGCCUGGCUGACUACAAUCCUCCAGCCACUUCUCGAACAGGCAGGCUGUGUGUGCAGGCUGUGAGUUGAGCCGGGCCAGCGCUCCCAUGUUGUCCUUGACAACAGCCCUACUUGAUGGUUCAAGAAAUGAGCCUUCAUCCAGGCCCAGUCAACUGUCCAAGGUAGCAAGCAGGCCGAUGAGUAGCACCUACUAUGAACAACCCGCUUCCAGAACUCCAUGCCUUCCCCCAAGUCAGCCUGCUUGCCCGCUUGCUACUACGGCUGAGUGGACCCUUACAGUCCAGAAGCUCGAUGCCCCCUGAUCCUCUGGAAGUGGACAUGUGCACUCCUCCGUGCCAGCCUCAGCCUCAAACGCACAGUGCUGAACACCUGUUGGCCUACCACAGCAUCAAGCACAAAUCCGUUCCUCAAAUAGAGCGGAAGUGUCGCCACGUCCUAACCUCGUCUCUAGCAAGCGAGGGAAGCUGGUCUCCAUAAACACAGUUAUUUUGGAGGUGGACAUUCUCAAAACACUGAGCGGGCUGGCUGCGGGGACGCUGGUGUUUGUUUGUUUCUUUCCGUUUUUAAACUAGCAGUGGUAGCUACAACAGAAACGUCUCUGCCGUUUGGGGACCAGAAGACGGAGACUUUCCUCCAGCCCCCAUGAUGGUGCUGGUCAGUGAAGCUAGUCAGUUCGAGGGAUUGCAAAGUAAAUGCUGUAGCCAAAUACAAGAGGGCAAAGUGAUGUGUUUAUAAAGAGAUAUAAGAUAUGUUCUAUGGGGGGAGGAGGAGGGAUGGUGGAAGGGAUAUACAGCGGGCCCAUGCCAAGGCAUCCCUUCCCCUGAGGGGCCAGCCACAGGAUGGUAGAGUAUAAAACAGAGUUUAUUCAGGGCAUGGGGAGGGGAGCUAAGAGGGUAGUAAAGGGAGAGAAAGGCAGAGGGCGAGAGAGAAGUAGAUGCGGGCCAUGGCCAUGAGAACGUGAAGAAGGGGAGAAGGAAAGGGAAUGGGGAAGGGGAGAGCAAGAGAGAAGCAAGGCAGCAAGCAAGAGAACGAGAGAGAGAGAGAGAGAGAGAGAGAGAGAGAGAGAGAGAGAGAGAGAGAGAGAGAGAGAGAGAGAGGGAGAGAGAGAGAGAGAGAGGGAGAGAGAGAGAGAGAAGGGGGGGCAAGCAGCCCCUUUUAUAGUGGGUCAGGCCUACCUGGUUGUUGCUAGGUAACUAUGGGGUGGAGCUUAGACAGAAAGCUAACAAAAAGGCUUCCCGGUGUUACAGGGCAGUCCCCAGGGGUUUAGGAUGCUUGGAUCACAACAUGAAGUCCGAGCAGUCAGAAGAUGACUAUAGCCCUGCAUAACACCUCAGCCUGGAAAUGGGAUUCCGCUCCUCUCUGGGGAACAGCCCAUAAGACCCCUCUACUAAGCAGCAAUCAGGUGGGAGGCUCUAUUCCCUAGUCGGUAUGCUGUGUGUGACCCCAGGGAGGUGUCCCAGUGGCUGCUACAGAGGAUCAAAGGCCAGCCCUGUGAGGAGCCAGCCUCCUGGAGAGUCUCCGCAAGCAGAGAGGCAUCCAAUCUGGCCAGGUGGUGGGACGGAUCAUCUUUCAGGCGACAGCUGUUUCCGGAACACCUACUAGUGGUAGGGCUCGAGCCAGAUGAUCUGGCCUGCCUCCUCUACAGGGGCCUCUCCCUGGGAACUGGCCAUGAGGCUAGAGGGAGGAUUAUCCUGCUGGAAAGAAGCCCCUACAUCCUGGGUCCUAUGGACCAUGAUGAAUGCAGAUAGCCACACACACACACACAAAGGACUUUGUUUAUCCCCUAUGAAGCUGUAAAUGGUUAACGGAAUGGGUGUGCCAAUCACCCUGGCUAGAUCAUUACACUUAUAUUUGCAUGAGAGCUUCAGAGUGUACCCCAUAAGUAUGUAGUCAUCCAUCAUGUGUACACCAACUGAAAACAAAGCAGACAGAACUCCAAAGAAUUCCAACCAGCUAGCUAGGCUGAGAAAAAGAGCCGGAAACAGAAAGCUCAGUCUAUCUAAUCCUAAAGCGGGCUCCCAGUCUCUAGCAUGUUCUGCAAUUGCUAAGGAGGAGGCACACCAACGUGUUGGUAAUGACCAAUGAAACACUAGCAGAAGCCCUGAUGGGAAGGCUGACAACAGAUGGGUCACCUGUCACACCAACAGGACUGCCAGACACAAGGGUCCGUGGAGUGGGGACACAGGAAGGACUCCCACAAAGAUUCAAGCCUAGCCUUUCAAGGCAAAUUGACCAUUGCUCUGGAUGAGCGAUCUCCAAUGGAGAUGCAAUCUGAGCUGUAAAAGAAUCUAUAAAAUCUGAUGUCCAUUUGAUGCGUUAAUACAUUUCCAUCAGGACCAUCCGCAUUUCCAGAGCUCAGAGGCCACACGGGCCCAGGGACUGUGGGACAACACAAUAAAUGCUAAGAACCAGAAAUUCACAGGAAAUAAAUAUAAGGCUCAGAGGGAAUCCUUAAGGACGCCGUGAAGAAAGAAUCAGCCAAGCCCCCAUAUGGAAAACCAUGCAGGAUGGAUGCCUGAUUUGAAAAAAAAUAUCUUAAAUUCCUCUAGAGACUUAAUAAGCAGACAUGCAGAGGCCACCAUGUCUGGACUCUUAUCUGAACGAAUCCUGGUGAAAUAACUUGAAAAUAUUGCCUGGGGAACUGGAGAGAUGGCUCAGCAGUUAAGAGCACUGACCGCCCUUCUGAAGACCCUGUGUUCAAACCCUAGGAACCACAUGGUGACUCACAACCAUCCGUGAUGAGAUCUGACGCCCUCUUCAGGUGUGUCUGAAGACAGCUACAGUGUACUCACAUGUAAUAAUAAAUAAAUCUUUGGGCCAGAGCGAACAGGGCUGGAGUGAGCAGAGGUCCUGAGUUCAUUUCCCAGCGACCACACAAUGGCUCACAACUAUCUGCAUAGUUACAGCGUGCUCAUAUACAUAAAAUAAAUAAAUAAAUCUUUUUUUUUUUAAUGAAAAGAAAAUAUUGCCUGGGCUUUUGAUCACAGAAAAUGACUAUCCGUGUGGUAGUUGUGACCUUAUUUCUCUCAAAGAGCCCAGGCCAGAUGUGGUGACGCAAGCCUUUAAUUCCAGCACAAGGGAAGCAAGGAUAGGAGAAUCCCUGUGGGUUUGAGGCCAGCUUCAUCUGUCUGUAUGAAUUCCAAGACAGGGCUACAUGUGGCACUGUCUCAAAAACUAACUAAUUAACUAACUAAUUAAAAGAACGUGGGCUCAUUCAGUAACGUGCUGGUCACACAAGCAUUAGGGACUGAGUUCAGAUCCCCACACUCAUGUAAAGGGCCAGAUGUGGUCGUCAGUGCUGGUCAUCUCCAGCACCAGAGAGGCCGAGACAGGAAGAUGCCUGGGGCUCCCUGGCCAGCUGGUGUAACCGGAUAGGUUAACUAGAGAUGCAGCAAGAGACCACCCUGUCUCGAAAACUAAAGUGGAAGGGGUUAAGUUGGGUGCACACCUGCCCAAGCACAUUCACACUGCACGCAAGCACACAAACACACACCUACUCUUUUUUUUGGAGAUCACUUAACCACAAAUAACGCAGUGGCUGGGGCAGAGGGGUGUCCACACGUUAGCUCUGCCACAAGGCAGGUCAGGAAUGGGUUAACUGCUGGAGCAGCUGAUUGGCAGGUGGGUGAAGGGGCUACUUUAUUCUUCUGGAUCUUGGCACAUGCUUUCCCCAAAUGAAGAGUUGCGCUUCUUUUAAUUAAGGAGAACCCUCUGCAACAGCUGCCCUGACAAAGCACCCAAUAGGGGCGGUGGUGGUACGAUUCUGGAAUGGCGCCUUUGAGGUUUAAAUCCUGGCUCUUUCUGUGGCUUCUUCUGUGACUUCAAGGAUGUCCUGCUGGCUGUAAUGCCUCAGUUUACCACUAAGCGGGACUGGUGUCAAAAACUCCACCCCUGAGGGACUGUUCUAAGGGUUAAAUAAAACUAUCCAAACAGGCUGGAUUAAGCUUAGCUGCAGACACCCACCAGUCCAGUGACCAGUCAUUGGUAUCACCAUCUUCAGUAAAGAAGGUGCCAGUCAUACGGCCCACCCGGGCAAUGUCACUCUGAUGAGUUGUGGUUUCCCAUCCAAGGGCAUAACGGAUCCUCUGUGGAGGCCUUGGAUGGAUGUAAGGAGCUUCGGUCUCCAUCAGACCUUGAGAACCACAAGUCGUAGCUUGAAGGAGAGGCAGUAAGGUAAAAUGAUGUUGGAGACACUGGUCAAUGCCCCUUUAAGGCACUCAGCCUAUAGGCAAAGCCAAAGUCAGUGGGGCUUUGGCCAAAUGCCCUGUCCGAGACAGAAGCAAAGCACCUUCGUCUCAAACCCCAAUGGCAAUGAUCUGAAAACAAAGCUCCAUUUGGCAAGCAAACUGAUUCAGGCUGGAAUCCUUAUUCCUUCUGCUUCCUGCUCUGGCCCUCCAGGGUAUCAUCCAGCUGUCACCUCCUAAACACUCAGGAAAGACAGGAAAACAGCACAGUGACAGGGCCAGGCAUGUACAGCUGGGACAGAGGGUUUCCCAAGAGAUACAGGGCCAAGCCUUGGGUGGUCCAGGCAGAAUUCUGCGUCCUCAGGCCAUCUGUGACAUGCUGCUCUGUUUAUGUGGCCUCACUGUCCCAGACUCUCAGGACAAAUGGAAGCUGUAGAAAGAAGGGCCGGGGGCUGGUGAGAUGGCUCAGUGGGUAAGAGCACCCGACUGCUCUUCCGAAGGUCCGGAGUUCAAAUCCCAGCAACCACAUGGUGGCUCUCAACCAUCCGUAACGAGAUCUGGAGUGUCUGAAGACAGCUACAGUGUACUUACAUAUAAUAAAUAAAUCUUUAAAAAAAAAAAAAAAAGAAAGAAAGAAGGGCCGGAGAGGGAGGACCCCAGAGCAUGGCUCUGUCAACACCGACCAGCUCCCAGGCACAGGUAAGACAGACGUGGUUUUUUUUCAAGUGAAAGGUCCUAAACUCUAGAGUGUCAGAGGCAGGGCAAUACAGAAAGGACAAAGGACCCUCUUUGUGGAGAGCCCAAGUCAAAGAGCCCAUGUCAUGCCCACAGCCAAGGGUACCCUACCUGAAUGGUACAAACCACCAUCACCAUCACUCCUUGAGGAGGGGAAGGGGAGUGGCAGGAGGAAGAAGAACUCCAGGAGACUGCCCUGUGCAAAACCUUCUCUUUGCCCAUCUGACCAGCUAUGGAGAAGAGCUAGCGAAAGCCCACUACAGGGCGGGUGACAUGUGCUGAGGAUGACAUUGGGAGAUUAGUGUGAGCAUCACUACCCAUAAGCCCUCCGUGGGGACUGGUACCACUCCUUCUCCUUGAAGAAUGCCCUUCCUAAAAAGCAAUACCUUGUCAUAAAAGUCUCCAUUUCGGAAGCAGAGUAAAAAGGGGGCCAGAAAUAAUGCACUUGGGAAUUCUUUGCUGGCAUCGGAGACUGCCGCCAGGCACAAAGAGGUACCCACACGCCACUCUUUAAGUGAGGUAGCUUUGUCUCAACCCGCUCACCUCAGCUUAUCCUAGCUCAGGGUGCCAGGUUUGACUAAGCACAUUCUAGAAAAGGCCCUGGGAUGGGAGAUCCCCACCCUGGCACCUGCUCAGGUCCCUGUAGCAAAAUCUGAUCACUCUGCAGCAUUCCAAGGACCAGGCCAGAGCAGUCAACUGGUACCAGAGGUCACAGGGGCUUGGAAACACGCCUCUAUGACCAGGCUGUCCCAUUUCUGAGACAGGGAUGGCCGUGCAUUUGUCUCAGAGAUGGACAGAGGACAGCCACUUGAAAGAGCCAAGGACUGGAAACACAUCCAUCUGCAGGAAGAUGUUUAGAUAAAUUCCUAAGAAGGAAGAGUCCCUAGCCACAGAGAAGCCGGCAACAACCCGUUGUUAUUGUUUAGACUGAAAACGGCCUGCGACGUGUGUAUACAAUUCUGUCAUCUGUUUAAACAAGCAUGGAAAAGAAAUAGAAUUUGUAUGUGUUCGCUUCUGUCUACUAAGACUAGACUAUCUUGGGACAGGAGGGCCAAGAAUGUGUGCUUCUGUCCUCUAUGAGGAGGGGACAGGUGGCUCAGCCACAGGAUAAGAAAAAGGCCUGUCCUGUGUAUUUCAGUUACUAAAGGGCAUACUGUGUAGACAUGAGGACCUGGGUCCAGAUGCCCAGCGCCCACAUAACAAGCCAUAACAUACGUCAGCACAUGCUUGUGUUCCAAAAGCAGAAGGAGUGGGCUCCAGAUUCAGGGAGAGACCCUGCCUCAAAAAAGUAAGGUGGAGAGAAAGAUGAAGAUAUCCAAUCUUGACCUCCAGCCUAUACACAAUCAUAUAUAAACAUGCAUGCUCACACACAUGGACACACACAUGCACACAAUCAAUCAGUCAUCAAUGGAAGAGACUAGCCCCACCGUCUGGACCAAUAUCUCCCAGCAGUCCCCCACUACCGAGCAUCCCCAACCCCCCCCCCCCAAAAAAAAACCCUCAACACAGAGCAAAGUACUACACAGCCACCCAACCAAGAAUUCCAUUCAGGCUUCAUGUUUAAUCUCAUAAGCCUUGUAAAUUUCACAUUCCACUCCAAAUCUGUGCCUGCCUUAAUAGCAAAAUAAUAUUUUAAACGGCUCCCUGGUUUAAAUGGUUUAACCUCUGCCCCCUCGGCCAAAUCUUCUAAAGUGAAUGAAGCCAGAAAAGGCUUCACGGUCUCUAUUGCGCGCCAGUUAAACUCAGUCACCUUUCCACCUCAUAGGAAACAAACCCCCCUCUGCCAGGUCUCUGGGCUGUGUUUUAAAUUACAUAUUAGUUAAAGCACUCAACCUUUCUCCUCUGGGUGCGCAGGUCAAAUGAAGAAGACAGGGCAGACACAACCUGGCUUUCUCCAUCUCCUGUCUCCCCACAGGCAGCAACACCCCAGUUUGGAAGGAGUUUGGGGUCCUCUUUGAAGUCUGCAGGGGAAGAGUAUACAGGACCCCCAGAAAUCUGGGGUGGGACAAACGUCCUUUCUUCGGGGAACAUUCAGGAACAAGACCAAUCCACUUCAGUUUCAGAGGCUAAACUUUAUUGUGCUCUUUCCAUAGGGAAGACCUUUGCCCAUAUCUCACCGCCCCUCUUAAGCCAUCCCUGGCGCUGGCUUCCAGUUUCCAAUGACCCUUCCAGGGUACAAGGCCAAUUCUGUUUUGCUGCUUUUUUUUUUAAGUCCAAUAAACUGCAGUUAACGCUCACUAUAGAAUGAACCGGCUGACUGUAAGUAACUGAGCCAAGUUUCACUUCUCAAGAAACCAAGGUCAAGCUCUCCCCGAGCUUUCUCUGAAGGAGGGGGAUGUGGGGGGGAUGUUUCUCAAACCCUUUUUUUUCCUGAUGGCUGUCUCAGAGUCCAAUUCAUUAAGUGCUGUGGACUGGUCCCACUUGCAAGCCCAGAAAGUCACAAACCUAGAUCUAAUCCCAGAUAGGCCACUCGUAACUGCGCAGCCUAGAAGAGGUCCCUUAACCUCCCUGG